GCGAUUCGGCAUGGUCUGAUUUUAUUUUGUUUUUUGUUGUUUAUUUGUGUUAUUACUUAUUGUUAAUUGAAGUGUCAUUAUUUGUUGUUGUAGUUUUUUGAUUUAAUUUUUAGUGCGAUAGUUUAUUUGUACUGUGAGGGGUUGAUUUAAUUGUUUUGUUAAAAGUUGGCUUUGUUUGUUGUACCUUGUGUAUCAGGGUUUAUUGAAUUUUAUUAUUUAUUUUUAUUUCCCGAUUUUGAAGGAGUUAAUGGUUUAUGUUAGUUACUGUUUUAUUAGUAUUAAUAAUUGGCUGUUGGUAGUGAAAUGUUAUUCGUUUUUGGUGGUUUCUGGUUUUUCAAGAAAUGAAUUUAAUUCAUGCUCUUUAUUUAAAAUUUAUUGUUUAUUGAUUUUUUUUUAUUUGGUGUUAAGAUUAAGGGGGAUUAGCUCUUUAUUUUAUUUUUAUAACUUGUUUAUUGAUUUAGUUUUGUGGAUUUUAUGGUGAUUUUCGAUUUGAUUAUGUUAAAAUUUUGUUUGUUCAUUUUUUUAUUUUUUUUAGUUUAGUGGUUAUAUUGGAAUGUUUUCUUUAUUUUGUUUUGUGUAGUAAUUAUUGUGGAAUUAGUAAAUUUAUUUUUUGUUUUGUUUAUUUUGAUGUUAAUUUCUUUUAAGGAAUUAGGCAAAUUUUUUCAUGUCCGCCUGUUUAACAAAAACAUCUUUUCUUGUUAGUUUUUGAAGUAUGGCCUGCCCGCUGAUGGGUUAGUAUUAUUGAAGGGCCGCGGUAUUUUGACCGUGCAAAGGUAGCAUAGUCAUUAGUUCUUUAAUUGUGAUCUGGUAUGAAUGGCUUGACGAGAUGUGCUGUCUUUGGUGUUGAAUUAUUUUAUUGAAUUUGGUUUUUGAGUUAAAAUUCUUAGAUGUGUUUAUGGGACGAGAAGACCCUAUAGAGUUUGACAGUUAUUGUGUAUUUUUGCUUGUUUGUUUUUGUAUUAUUGUGUAAUUUUCUGUUUUGUUGGGGUGAUGGGAGGAAUGUUCUUAACUCCUCUUUUUUGUGGUAUAUUGAUUUGUAUUUAUUUUGAUCCAUUUAUUUUGAUUAUAAGAUUAAAUUACCUUAGGGAUAACAGCGUUAUCUUCCUUGAGAGUUCUUAUUGGCAGGGGGGUUUGCGACCUCGAUGUUGGAUUAAGGUUAAUUUUUGGUGUAGGAGCUGAAUAGUUGAUUGGGUCUGUUCGACCUUUAAAAUCUUACAUGAUCUGAGUUCAAACCGGCGUGAGCCAGGUUGGUUUCUAUCUAUAAUUAGUUUUUAUGCCUUAGUACGAGAGGACCGGGUAUUUGGAAUAAUUUUGUGUUAUUGUAUGUUAUUAAUUUUUUACUAUUUUGGCAGAUAAGUGCAUUGGAUUUAGAAUCUAUU
rnacentral:rRNA from 1 species